GUGCCUGCCAGGCAAUAGCAGCCCAACCCUGCUCUCCUGGAACCAACAUCCCAAAGAGAAAAGCCAACAACAGAUAAGAACAUGGUGCCAGGUACUGAAGCAGGCUCCAGGCUCCAGAGGACGGUGCAACCCCGAGUCCUACCUAUUUGGCCAUAGGGACAAGAAGCUGAAAUUUCAUCUGGUGACAACCAGGCCCCCACAAGCCACCGCCAUCCCUGGAUCCCCGCCUGUCUGGCCACAGUUCUGACAGGCACAGUAGCGCAAAGGUAGUGUUCAGAAUCACCGCCACCUGAUACAGGUCAGAAACUGCAAAAACCCCUCUCCACGGGAAGUCAGCUUCCUCCUGAACUCAGGUCACACCGAGGCCAUGCAUCUGUAUACGUCAUACCUGCUCAUGGUCCUGCAUUCUGAAACAUCAGCCCCAUAGCAUGAAGCAGGUACUCUGGGCUUACCUGCCCCCAUGUGUGCUGCUCUCAGCUGGUGACCCGCUGAGACCACCGGUUCAUCUGGCUUGCGCCUGUGGAUUUGGAGGAACCGUGUGCAGGAAGAGAGUCGGGGGACCCAUCAGGGCUAAUGUGAUGGUGAAUGUCAGGCAGCCCUGCCACCGGCAUGCCCCAGGCCCUUCCCGCAGCCCCGUGUGGCAGCCCUGCUCCAUUAUGGCUUUUGCCUAAUUAGGGUAAUUUAAGUGAAAGUAAUCAAAGCAA